ACUUCCGGGGCGGAGACAAACGCCAGUAGUGGGGAAGGGCAGCGGCCCGGUGUGUUCCGACACGGAGAGAGCACGUAAUACAGCAGUGUUCUCUCCAUACUCUGUCCUUAUCAGCUAGUGUUCUCUGGAAGCAGCAGUCAGGGGACUAUUUAUAGCAAUCUUUAGAUUGCAUAUACUGAACAGACACUCGGACCCUGUUGAGGAAGCACACAGCUGGAAUCUGUGAAUGGUCCAAGAAGUGGUGUGAACUGUGAAAAUAGGAGUGAAAAUCUCUGCCAAAGCUGACGACCAUUUCUAAAACUGCCUCUUAUGUGCCUGGAUUUAUGAAUAGACGUGCGCUUUUUAGUAAUGCCAGUCUUGUUAAUUCCCCCACCUCAGGUGUGAACCCUAACUUAAAGGGGUACUCCGGUGAAUUAAGCCUUUGUAAAACCCGCUCGAGGAGGUGGACAGUAAAAAAAAAAUAAAAAAAAAGUUUUCUUACCUUUAUCGCUCCCACACUGUUGCUUGCAUCACAGAACUCGGUUUGGGUGACAUGACACAGACACUCAUAAAUCAUUGGCUGAGGUGGGACCUCACUGCACAUCAUCCAAACCCAAAAGUGCCGGACAGCAGGAACCAAUUUUCAUGAUUCUGCUGGCAGUGCAGGAGCAAGGAAGUAAGAAAGGGUUGUUUUCUUAUUGUUCCUCUCUCAGUAAAUUUUUAAAAGGGUUAGUGCACCAGAGUAUCUUUUAUAAUACAAUUUGCCCUUUGGUGCAGAUUUUAAAUUCACAUGCUUCUGCUUUACUGUGCAUUUUACGUAAAAAAAAAUAAUUCUAAGUGUUGUGAAAAUUUUCUGCAAACAUACUGCGGAUCUGAAGCAAAAUCUGCAACAGCAGAUUUGAAAUACAUAUAUGGAUCCACUAACUUUAAAAUUACUACAAAAUCUGCCGCAAAAAGCUCAAAAUUACAUAAAGAAAGGAUAAACUGUCAUUCACACACAGUUGGAACUAUGUUAUUUCAGUGUUUUAAACUAAGUGAUUAAGUUAUUUUAGAUUCUAGAAUGUCUUCUUGUAGGCCUAUGGAAGGGGUUAACAUUUUAGAAAGGUAUCCUUACUCCACCUGUCAUUGAUUACCCUCCUAACCUUUCCCCAUAGAAUCUCUCUGUGAGGCAGAUCCUGCUCAGCUUGUCAGAUCUGCAUUCCUAGUCUGUUACAUGCAUAGGACGGAAGUUGCAAUUUGUAAAACCAUGUAAAGGUGUAAAAACUGACCCAUUCUAUCUUUUAUCCUGAGUUUUAUUUAUGUUUCCUUUUGUAUUUAUUUACGAUCACCUCUUAGACCCUAAUCGGUCUGAAGAAAAAGGGGUCCCACAACCUGUUCAUGGCCAGCACAGUCUCCAGAGAGAUCAAUAAAAUAAUUUGCUUCAUAAACUCUUAUAGACGUUAAUGAAGAAUGCCAGAAAUCACAAAAUGAAGGUCUUGUACCUGUCAGGCAUUUAUGACCACAAAUGCUUAAGAUGGGAAUAUCUAUGGUAUCUGCCAUACAGAGGAGGGCAUCUUGCUCUUCUAAUUCUGCAUAUACAUCAUAAGAAAAUACAGCAGCAUGGAAGGCAUUAUAGAGAAGCAGUCAGCAGUCUAAGCUGUGAAUCAAGCCCUGGGUGAGAUGAGAUCUGUUACUGAUAGU